UGUUUGACUGUGCAGGCAGUGGCACCAAUCAGGCACAUCAUUAUGACUACUAACAGGUGAAGAUAAUAACACUGAUAAUCUCUUCAUCAUGGCACCUGUUAAUGCGUGGGAUAUAUUAGGAAGCAAGUGAACAAUUUGUCCUCAAAGAAGAAGCAGGAGGACUUGUCCAACUUGUGCUUCUGGGGUGUUCCUGGUCUGUAGUGAUCAGUAUCUAUGAAAAGUGGUCCAAGGAAGCAACAGCAGUGAACUAGUGACAGGUUCAUGUAGGAGUUGCAUCACAUGAUCAGCCAGUUAUGGGUGCAUUGCAUACCUGGGCAAUACACGGCACCAGGAUGCACUAUGGAAACUGUGGCAGUGUGAUACUCUUCUAGGAAACCUUGCGUCAUGCCAUCUAUGUGGAUGUUACUUUGACAUGUUCCACCUACCUAAGCAUCAUUGCAGACUUUGAUUACAACCGUUCAUGGAAACGAUAUUGCGUUCUUCUUUCAGCAGGAUAAUGCACCCUGCCACAAAGCAAAAAUGGUUCAAGAAUGGUGUGAAGACCACAACAAUGACUUUGUGAUCCAGAUUUCCUAUAGUUCAACCCAAUGGCUGGACAAACAAGUCCAAUCUAUGGAGGCCCCAACUCGCAACUUACAGGGCUUAAAGGUGCAAGAUACAAGAUACCACGCACAUCAGCUCCAAGGGUCUAGUGGACACCAUGCCUCAAUAGCAGGUCUAUGUCUAUAUCUGUGAGCAGAUACUGACAAAUAACAUCUGCGCUAAUUCCACGUAAACCUAAUAAAAGUUAUUUAUAACCUUGGCGAGUAUGCGGUGGAAGAGAUUCUCAGGGGACUCACAUUCAGCCCAGCCUCCACUGAGCUCCGUUUCCUUACCUUCCUCUGUUGCUGCCACUUGGCUGAGCUCCACCUUGGGGCCCCAGUCCCGGCUCCUUUAGUGCAGUUAGACAGGUGCAGCUGAACGGAGACAUUCAGAGUCCCUCCAAGCCGGCCACCGAACUCACCAUCUCCGUUUACACCCGCACUUUAAUCGCUCAGAUUCAUGUGGCACUUUUUAAAAUCUGGGUGCAGUUCUCAGCCAGAUAAAAUUCACAAGACAUAUUAGUAUGGCUCCAUGGUUUGUGAGGUGAUGAAGAUACAGUGUUAGAGACUUGAGAAGACUCUCCUCCAAGGGACAGCAGAGGUUACAGAGUUAAUUUCUUUUAUAAACCUUAAAGAACCUUUAAUAUAAAGUUCCUUAUUUUCAGUUACUAGACAGUUGUUUCAAGAAUUCAAGUUGUGUGUACAAUAAAUCAAUUUUUUAUAUGUUCAAUAUUGAUCCGUCAUUCUAAACAGAUUUCCCACCAUCAGUUCCAGUUUAAUGCUAAUUCACAGAACAAUAGUACAGAUCCCGCCAGAAAUCCUGCGGUCAAAGACAUCCACCCUUAAACUAACAUUUAGCAGGAGGUCCAAUUAUUUAUUUAUUUUUUUUCCUUGGUCAGUGAAUCAACAUUUAACAUUCAACCCAAUUAGUUUGGGGCAUAACCAAGCCUUAUGUAAGUUGUUGAGCAGUGCAGGAAAAACAAAUUGUCCUGCCAAAAACGCAAAUCAUGAAUGACACGAAUGAUCUACAUACGGUAGCAGCAAUUAGAACAAUGUUAUUCUCUGCUGUUAACAACUGCCAGUGAUUACCGCCAGACAAAAUGGAAUCAUCUCUACCCCUGCAUGCAUGAAUAGCUUAUAAAACAGGAUAGGCAACGCUGGCUCCCCUCUUUUCUUUGAGGGUGUUUUGGCGCAAGUGGCACAUGGUGACAAGCAGAGGCCACAGAUCUUUCUCAAAGUCUACUUUUAGAAACUGCAAGUCAAGGUUUUAGGUUUCAAUGUCUGCUCCCGAGUGAAUGGCUUUUCCAUCUUGCCAAUUAGGUGUACAAUUUAAAAGCUUGUUGUGCGCAAGCCAGCGGUUAAAGCUUCAUGGUUUUGUAAUCGAUUGAGCGAGGGUCUUGUAUUAUCAGCAGAGAAGAAAGUCCUUCUUUCAUUUGUUAGAAUACUAAUCAGACAUUCCUUUAUGCACAGGAAGUCUGCACAGACUUUAUGCUUUUAAAAAACACUUUUGAAAAAGACAAAGAAGUGGCUUUGAAAGCAAAAUCUUUUUUUUUCCUCAUGAA